CUAUUAACUGCGUUAUUUACUCAUUAUUGCUACAUUGUAUCAAUGCUUUACAAUUUAAGCCUUUUUUGCCAGUUUCUUUGUAAGUCAUCUUGACACCGCAACCCCUCCCCUUGGUUACGGGGAGACCAUGUUAACACAAUGCUCAUCUACCCUGAUUGGCUUAAGGCCAUACAUGUCACUAUGACGCUACAUUUCCUCCCUUCGAAAUUAUGGUGACCACGUGAGCUUUACGCCCACCUUUCCUGAUUGGUCUCUUCUGAGAUGUGACGAUCGGAUGAACUCCGCCUCUUGAGGAUUCUGAUUGGAGGACGUCAACUUUGGG